rnacentral:rRNA from 1 species
UACAGAGGGUGCAAGCGUUAAUCGGAAUGACUGGGCGUAAAGGGUGCGUAGGUGGCAUGUUAAGUUAGAUGUGAAAUCCCUGGGCUUAACCUAGGAACUGCAUAUAAUACUGGCGUGCUAGAGUAUGGGAGAGGUAAGUGGAAUUUCCGGUGUAGCGGUGAAAUGCGUAGAUAUCGGAAGGAACACCAGUGGCGAAGGCGGCUUACUGGCCUAAUACUGACACUGAGGCACGAAAGCGUGGGGAGCAAACAGG